AAUGAUCCUCAUUUGUAACUUUUUUCCUAUUAAUAUGAUUCAUAUUGGAAAGUCACAUUUAUGUCAAAAUGAUUCCUCUCUACCCACACUUGGUUGCUCAUCUCCUUUUUGAAAUUUUAUAGUAUUUUAAAUUAUUCUUCUUUCCUUAAUUUGUGAUUCAGGACCUUGCUUAUUCUUUCCUGAACUCACUUUUUAAGACCUGGGUUUUAGGCUAAUUUUGACAGGAGCAGUGUGAACUUAGGCAAGUUAUUACUUUUUUUUUUUUUUUUUUCCUGAGUCUCAAUUGUGAAAUGGGGCCAUAGGGAGAAAAAAGUCAUUUUGUAACCCAGAAAAUGUCAGACAUGAGCUAGCACUGUUGUGCCAUGCAUGGUCUGGAUGUAGAGUACAAUUUUCUCUGAAGGGAAAAUUUACUCCUGGCUCCCUGAGAAAAUCCCACAAGACAAUUGGGGUCAUUCACUCUGUGACAGGGGUUGGGAAACCCAAGUUCCGCUGACUCAUAGAAUGAAAUAAGAGAUCACAUGAAAAUAAAAUGUAGCUUAAUAUAGGAUAAGGUUGUGAAAGAAAUGAAAACAAGCUUAAUCUGUUAAAAUUUAAGAACAUGAAAUACAAAGCUAUUAAAUAUGAUUUUCUCAAAAUUCACUCUAAUUCAACUUUAUUUUCCAUUCCGAGAAGGAGAAAGAAGAAAGAUAGGGAAAAGGAAAGAUUGUGUAGAGAAAUUAAAAGAUUAGGAUAGAAGAGAUCUGGGAAAGAAAACAAAGAGUAUCACAGAGUAGUAAUGGAUUAUUCAUCUCUGAGACACCCAUCGAGGAACUGGCAGAGCAGAAUACUAAUCCAGAUCGUUUUACUCCAAAUCCAGCACAUUUUCCAAUUAGUCCAAUUGUAUGUGGUCACCUCGCUUCUGUUUUUACACUUCCAGAAAUGGACAACUCCUGGAAAGCACAUCCUGCUUUCCAACUUUUGAGAUUCUGUGAAACAGACAAAAUUCUUCCUUGUCACCAGCCUCCCUAGAAUCAGUGUUAGAGCUGGAAGGAAGUUAGAGGCUAUCUCAUCCAAUCCCCCCAUUUUACAAGUGAGAAACUGAGGUCCAGAGGAGGGGAAAGACCUGGCCAAAUUCACUCAGCAAGAGGCAGAGCUGAGACCACGAGCCCGUGGUCCUGGCUGCAUCCCCAGUCCUCUCUGCACUGCAUCCCCCAGUAAUUAAAGGAUUGCUUGCAUCAGGAAUUUGCAAAAGAACGGGGUGAUUAAUGAGUGUGGCUGCAUUCCCAGAAAUUUGCAGGAAACUGAAUGCAGGUGAAAAUACCCACUUCCUUCCUCCGCGAUUGCUUGACUUGAGCUCAAGGUGUAUUCACUUGUUCAUGGUGAAGGGAGGGACUUAAGGGGGGUCGGUUUCAGAGGAGCUGCCCAGUGAGAGGAAACAGGAUUGAGCAACCAGGUUUCCUGUUACUCUCUGGAUUUUCUCCAGUGAGGGAGAGGCAGGAGGGAAAACAUGUGAUGGAAAAUCUUACGCCCCUAACAUAUUUCUUUGAUUUACUAAGGUGAUAUAUUAGGAGGAUUAUGGCUUCAUUGGUGCUGUAGUGAGCUGUUUGACAUAAACUGGCUGCAGCAGGCUUAGGGGCUGAAAGGAGAUGGAUAAAUGCCCCUUCAGAGACUGCAAGCUUUUUGCAAAUUCUACAGUAUGAGUUGAAAGGAAACUUAAAAAGGGAGCAAAUCUAACCUAUUUGAAGGAGGAAUCUGCCAUACUGUGGAAUACUGAAAUGGGAUCUAGACUUGGGUUCAGACACUGGCUCUGAUACCAGCUGUGUAACUGGACAAAUCAUUUGAUUUCCCUGAACCUUAGUUUUUUUCCAUACAUCAGUAGGGAUAAUACUUGUGCUAUUUACCUUAACUGCUUCACUUUGUAAGCAAAGUGCUAUGUAAGCCUC
ensembl:lncRNA